CAUGUCAACUGCAUUAUUCUGUAGAGGCUGUGUUUAAUCUGUGCAAUUUGUUUUUCUUCUAAAACAGCUUUGCAUUCAGACACAUGCAGCUCCUGUGGUUACACCGCACAGAGUUUGAAAGGACGUGGAACUGUGUUUCUCCUUGCAGAGGAGUUUAAGUUUCAUUUUCAGGAUAACUUCAGCCCACCCACCACCACACCUCUCACAGUUUGUAGUUACAUUUUCCUUUCGCGCUUACUCUCAUCUUCAAAGCCUACAGAACCAGAGGAAAGAAAUGGCUGAAUACCAGCAGCCCACCCAGAUAGUGACAGUCUCCACCACUAAUCAAGGUGUUGGGCAGUGGAGCACUGGCCUCUGUGAUUGCUGUGCUGAUAUGGGCACUUGUUGCUGUGCCCUUUGGUGUUUCCCCUGCAUGCAGUGUGAUACAGCCAACAAGCAUGGCUGGUGUUGCUGCCUCCCACUCUGUGAUGCAUGCUGCGUGGUGUCCUGCACGCUUCGCCAGUCCAUCAGAGAGCGUCACGGCAUCCCUGGUUCGUGCUGUGAUGACUGGUGUAAAAUAAUUUGGUGUUACGAGUGUGUCUGGUGCCAGAUGCAUCGUGAGGUGAAGAUCAGGGCCAACAUGCAGCCUGCCACCGCAACGGUGGUCACCACUCAAGUUGUCAGUGGAUAGGAUGUAACCAUUUUGGCUCUUGGUUUAGUGAAGAUGGCCAACAGUAUUUCAAAGUUCAUUUCAAGUAUUUCAAAGUGCUGAUGCUUGUGUAGUUCAAUACAAUAUGUAGAGUCUUUGUUAAAACCAGAUGCUUUGAGCUUUGGUAGCGUGUUGGGUAUAUAAUACAACUGAGAGUGUUUGUUUACUCUGGCCAGUAAAUUCUGUAUAAUUUCACACGCUCACUGUUAUUGUAAUCUUUCCAAAGUUAAAUUUAACAUUUGCUGAAGUAAAAAGUUAUUCAUAUUCACCCAU